rnacentral:rRNA from 1 species
CAGUCGCCACGGUAAUACGUAGGUGGCAAGCGUUGUCCGGAAUUAGUGGGCGUAAAGGGCUCGCAGGCGGUUUCUUAAGUCUGAUGUGAAAGCCCCCGACUCAACCGGGGAGGGUCAUUGGAAACUGGGAAACUUGAGUGCAGAAGAGGAGAGUGGAAUUCCACGUGUAGCGGUGAAAUGCGUAGAGAUGUGGAGGAACACCAGUGGCGAAGGCGACUCUCUGGUCUGUAACUGACGCUGAGGAGCGAAAGCGUGGGGAGCGAACAGGAUUAGAUACCCCCGUAGUCCCUGUCUCUUAUAC